CUACGGAUGUACUUUAACUUAUUCUGAGAUGAAAUUCAUCGUCGCCAUAGUUUUUUCCUCAAUGGUGUUUUGCCAACUCUACUCUGCCGUCCACUGUCAACAUGAACCAUAUAAUACAAUGCUUCGACGAUAUGGACUUUUACCAGUAUGCACCUCACCAAGUAAAGAAGGCAUCGUUUUUAUCAAAUGCGCCAUCUUCAUCCCGAUUUAAAAGGCGUUUGACUUGCAUCUGAUACUAUAAAUAUAUUCAAUCGUCAAAUUAGUCACAGAAACAAGUGUAACUAGAGAAAAUAUUAAAGAAAUCUUCUUAA